rnacentral:tRNA from 1 species
GGCGGUUUAGUGUAGUGGCCUAGCACGCAUCUCUCUCACGGAUGAGACUCGGGUUCGAUUCCCGAAUCCGCUAC